GCAGUCGAGCGACAGAUAAGGAGCUUGCUCCUUUGACGUUAGCGGCGGACGGGUGAGUAACACGUGGGUAACCUACCUAUAAGACUGGGAUAACUUCGGGAAACCGGAGCUAAUACCGGAUAAUAUUUCGAACCGCAUGGUUCGAUAGUGAAAGAUGGUUUUGCUAUCACUUAUAGAUGGACCCGCGCCGUAUUAGCUAGUUGGUAAGGUAACGGCUUACCAAGGCGACGAUACGUAGCCGACCUGAGAGGGUGAUCGGCCACACUGGAACUGAGACACGGUCCAGACUCCUACGGGAGGCAGCAGUAGGGAAUCUUCCGCAAUGGGCGAAAGCCUGACGGAGCAACGCCGCGUGAGUGAUGAAGGUCUUCGGAUCGUAAAACUCUGUUAUUAGGGAAGAACAUACGUGUAAGUAACUGUGCACGUCUUGACGGUACCUAAUCAGAAAGCCACGGCUAACUACGUGCCAGCAGCCGCGGUAAUACGUAGGUGGCAAGCGUUAUCCGGAAUUAUUGGGCGUAAAGCGCGCGUAGGCGGUUUUUUAAGUCUGAUGUGAAAGCCCACGGCUCAACCGUGGAGGGUCAUUGGAAACUGGAAAACUUGAGUGCAGAAGAGGAAAGUGGAAUUCCAUGUGUAGCGGUGAAAUGCGCAGAGAUAUGGAGGAACACCAGUGGCGAAGGCGACUUUCUGGUCUGUAACUGACGCUGAUGUGCGAAAGCGUGGGGAUCAAACAGGAUUAGAUACCCUGGUAGUCCACGCCGUAAACGAUGAGUGCUAAGUGUUAGGGGGUUUCCGCCCCUUAGUGCUGCAGCUAACGCAUUAAGCACUCCGCCUGGGGAGUACGACCGCAAGGUUGAAACUCAAAGGAAUUGACGGGGACCCGCACAAGCGGUGGAGCAUGUGGUUUAAUUCGAAGCAACGCGAAGAACCUUACCAAAUCUUGACAUCCUUUGACAACUCUAGAGAUAGAGCUUUCCCCUUCGGGGGACAAAGUGACAGGUGGUGCAUGGUUGUCGUCAGCUCGUGUCGUGAGAUGUUGGGUUAAGUCCCGCAACGAGCGCAACCCUUAAGCUUAGUUGCCAUCAUUAAGUUGGGCACUCUAAGUUGACUGCCGGUGACAAACCGGAGGAAGGUGGGGAUGACGUCAAAUCAUCAUGCCCCUUAUGAUUUGGGCUACACACGUGCUACAAUGGACAAUACAAAGGGCAGCGAAACCGCGAGGUCAAGCAAAUCCCAUAAAGUUGUUCUCAGUUCGGAUUGUAGUCUGCAACUCGACUACAUGAAGCUGGAAUCGCUAGUAAUCGUAGAUCAGCAUGCUACGGUGAAUACGUUCCCGGGUCUUGUACACACCGCCCGUCACACCACGAGAGUUUGUAACACCCGAAGCCGGUGGAGUAACCAUUGGAGCUAGCCGUCGAAGGUGGACAA
rnacentral:rRNA from 1 species